ensembl:processed_transcript Six3os1 SIX homeobox 3, opposite strand 1
CUCUGAGCGCGACCCUACCCGGCUCGGGCCCGCAGCAGCCCCGACUGUCCGAGAGCCUCUCCGCAAGCAAGGCUCUGCGCCGCCCUCUGAGCCCACCUCCUGGCCACAACGCUGCCUGCGCUUCUCCAGCCCAGGCCGGAAGCCCUAUGCUGCCUCCCGAAGCCGGACUUUCUGGAAGCCCAUCUUCGUAUGCUCACCAGCCCACCCUCCUACGCUGGUCAGAGUGAGAUUGCUAACCUCAAGACCCCAUUCAAUGCCAGCUUUCAACUACUGCUGAAGACCAAUGUAGGUCCUGGAAUAGAAGAACUGCAGAGUCUUGGCUUUUGCUUUUGUGUGUCCACCUCGAGCAGAUCCGGAGCUGGCCGACCCCAGACUGAUUCUCAACAGGUGGCUGGAUGCAGACAAAAGCUACCAUGUCCGCUUGGAGUGACACCCAGACAUGCACAGAGAUGUACAGGAAGCCAAGGAGAGUGGGAUCCACCAGAGUACAGUACAAGUACAGAGUACAGUGCAAGAUGCCCAGU